UUCCUGCAGAACUCCUGGGUGAGUCCCACUGAUACCAGAGAAACUCCAUCUUGUGUCCCUAACGUCCAUCUUAAAUAACCCAGAGUCCCUCCCCCAUUAAAUGGCGGGUACAGGGCACCCAGCGCUCCAGACCAAAUUGGCGGGAAAAGGGGGUAAAGGGACGUAACGCUGUGAGGUAAAUCGAACGUGGGCUAACGGGAACGGGGGAGAGUUGGUGGGAAAAGGGGGUAAAGGGACGUAACGCUGUGAGGUAAAUCGAACGUGGGCUAACGGGCACGGGGGAGAGUUGGCGGGAAAAGGGGGUAAAGGGACGUAACGCUGUGAGGUAAAUCGAACGUGGGCUAACGGGCACGGGAGAGAGUUGGCGGGAAAAGGGGGUAAAGGGACAUAACGCUGUGAGGUAAAUCGAACGUGGGCUAACGGGAACGGGGGAGAGUUGGCGGGAAAAGGGGGUAAAGGGACGUAACGCUGUGAGGUAAAUCGAACGUGGGCUAACGGGCACGGGGGAGAGUUGGCGGGAAAAGGGGGUAAAGGGACGUAACGCUGUGAGGUAAAUCGAACGUGGGCUAACGGGAACGGGGGAGAGUUGGCGGGAAAAGGGGGUAAAGGGACGUAACGCUGUGAGGUAAAUCGAACGUGGGCUAACGGGCACGGGGGAGAGUUGGCGGGAAAAGGGGGUAAAGGGACGUAACGCUGUGAGGUAAAUCGAACGUGGGCUAGCGGGAACGGGGGAGAGUUGGCGGGAAAAGGGGGUAAAGGGACGUAACGCUGUGAGGUAAAUCGAACGUGGGCUAGAGGGAACGGGGGAGAGUUGGCGGGAAAAGGGGGUAAAGGGACGUAACGCUGUGAGGUAAAUCGAACGUGGGCUAGCGGGCACGGGGGAGAGUUGGCGGGAAAAGGGGGUAAUGGGACGUAACGCUGUGAGGUAAAUCGAACGUGGGCUAACGGGCACGGGGGAGAGUUGGCGGGAAAAGGGGGUAAAGGGACGUAACGCUGUGAGGUAAAUCGAACGUGGGCUAGCGGGAACGGGGGAGAGUUGGCGGGAAAAGGGGGUAAAGGGACGUAACGCUGUGAGGUAAAUCGAACGUGGGCUAGCGGGAACGGGGGAGAGUUGGCGGGAAAAGGGGGUAAAGGGACGUAACGCUGUGAGGUAAAUCGAACGUGGGCUAGAGGGAACGGGGGAGAGUUGGCGGGAAAAGGGGGUAAAGGGACGUAACGCUGUGAGGUAAAUCGAACGUGGGCUAGCGGGCACGGGGGAGAGUUGGCGGGAAAAGGGGGUAAUGGGACGUAACGCUGUGAGGUAAAUCGAACGUGGGCUAACGGGCACGGGGGAGAGUUGGCGGGAAAAGGGGGUAAAGGGACGUAACGCUGUGAGGUAAAUCGAACGUGGGCUAGAGGGAACGGGGGAGAGUUGGCGGGAAAAGGGGGUAAAGGGACGUAACGCUGUGAGGUAAAUCGAACGUGGGCUAGCGGGAACGGGGGAGAGUUGGUGGGAAAAGGGGGUAAAGGGACGUAACGCUGUGAGGUAAAUCGAACGUGGGCUAGCGGGCACGGGGGAGAGUUGGCGGGAAAAGGGGGUAAUGGGACGUAACGCUGUGAGGUAAAUCGAACGUGGGCUAACGGGCACGGGGGAGAGUUGGCGGGAAAAGGGGGUAAUGGGACGUAACGCUGUGAGGUAAAUCGAACGUGGGCUAACGGGCACGGGGGAGAGUUGGCGGGAAGAAGAAGGUGGUAAACAACGAUUGACAGAUAACAGACGUAAGGGUCCUAUGCAGUGAUUGACAGGGGAGCGGGAGCAGAAGGCAGAGGGGGGCCGAAGGAGGCGAGGGGGGGACGGAGGUGAAGAAGACGCGAGCGGAGGGGAAGAGACGGACGCCGCAGAGGAGGGAGGGAGGGAAAAGAGGAGCAGGCAGCUGAGUGUGACAGACAC